rnacentral:misc_RNA from 1 species
UUUGUGUAAAGAUUGUUUUUUUUUUAAGUUUAGAUUAACAAAAUGUUUUUACAUAGAUUAAGAUUGCAACACAAAUUGAUACUAAAAAUAAGAUACUGCUCUAGUGAUGCAAGUAGUGACACAAAUCAUAAAGUUAUCAAGGCUAAUGAAACUAUUGAUAACCAAAAUGAUAAAUUAAUGAUAAAUAGUGAAGUUAAACGAAAAAAAAAGUUAAUUUUUGCUAAAGGAGAUAAAAAGUUUAUUGAUUGGAAGCGUUUGUAUUUAAAAGCUGGAAAUGGUGGAAAAGGUUCAAAUUCGUUUGUGCAUUCUAAGUAUGUUUACAAAAGAGAUCAUAGAGGUGGUCCUAAUGGAGGAGAUGGAGGACGUGGAGGAAGUGUUAUUGUAGUUGCUGAUUCCUCUUUCACUCAGCUUGCUCAUUUAAAGUCAGCUUAUCAUGCUGAAUGUGGUAGAAAUGGAUCUGGAAGAAAUAUGCAUGGUAGAAAUGGAGAUGAUUUGUUCAUUAAGGUUCCACAAGGUUCUCUUAUUUUAAAAGCAGGGACAUCAAACAUAAUUGCUGAUCUCCUCAAGGACGGUGACAGUGCAACUGUUGCUUAUGGAGGAUAUGGUGGAAAGGGUAAUGUUCAUUUUAAAUCACCUUUAAAUGUUAGACCAAGAGAAUUUACAGAAGGCAGCUUGGGUGAUGAGUUAUAUAUUGAUGUUGAGUUAAAGUCCAUAGCUGAUGUUGGAUUGGUUGGUUUUCCUAAUGCUGGCAAAUCAACAUUAUUACGUGCUAUUUCACGUGCAACUCCAAAGGUUGCAGAUUACCCAUUUACCACACUCAGCCCUAACAUUGGUAUAAUGGCAUAUAAAGAUAUUAAAGUAACUGAUGUCAGUUAUCCAUGGCUUUCACAACUGAAUUGUGGUCAUCAAUGAAAUUUGAUUCUUGACCUCCGCUAUAUCUCAAACAACUGGACCAUGGAGAAUCUGCAGCUACAUUGUGCAAGUGUAGAAGUUGCAGAUAUACCAGGGUUAAUUGAAGGUGCUCAUGU